rnacentral:rRNA from 1 species
UACGAAGGGUGCUAGCGUUGUUCGGAUUUACUGGGCGUAAAGCGCACGUAGGCGGUUAUGUAAGUCAGCGGUGAAAUCCCAGGGCUCAACCUUGGAAUUGCCAUUGAUACUGUGUAACUAGAGUGUAUGAGAGGAUGAUGGAAUAUCCAGUGUAGAGGUGAAAUUCGUAGAUAUUGGAUAGAACACCAGUGGCGAAGGCGAUCAUCUGGCGUACAACUGACGCUAAUGUGCGAAAGCGUGGGUAGCAAAC